AGUUGUGAGCGGCUGGCGAUGGUUGGCGUACGGCGAGGCAGAGGGAGGCCCAAGAGGUAUUGGGGAGAGGUGAUUAGGCAUGACAUGGCUAGAAUGCGGGUUUCCAACGACAUGGCCCUUGAUAGGAAAGUCUGGAGGUCUAGUAUCAGGGUCGUAGGAUAGGGGUUCCUAGAGAUUUUCGUACUCCUCACCCGGGGUUGUGUGAGGCUUGGCAGGGCU
rnacentral:lncRNA from 1 species